UACGGGGGGAGCAAGCGUUGUUCGGAUUUACUGGGCGUAAAGGGCGCGUAGGCGGCGUAACAAGUCACUUGUGAAAUCUCCGGGCUUAACCCGGAGCGGCCAAGUGAUACUGUUGUGCUAGAGUGCGGAAGGGGCUACUGGAAUUCUCGGUGUAGCGGUGAAAUGCGUAGAUAUCAAGAGGAACACCUGCGGCGAAGGCGGGUUGCUGGGCCGACACUGACGCUGAGGCGCGAAAGCUAGGGGAGCGAACGGG
rnacentral:rRNA from 1 species